rnacentral:rRNA from 1 species
GACGAACCGUGCGAACGUUGUUCGGAAUCACUGGGCUUAAAGGGCGCGUAGGCGGACUGCCAAGUCCGGGGUGAAAUCCUCCGGCUUAACCGGAGAAUUGCCUGGGAUACUGGCGGUCUUGAGGGAGGUAGGGGCACGCGGAACUUCCGGUGGAGCGGGGAAAUGCGUUGAUAUCGGAAGGAACGCCGGUGGCGAAAGCGGCGUGCUGGCCCUCUUCUGACGCUGAGGCGCGAAAGCCAGGGGAGCGAACGGG